rnacentral:lncRNA from 1 species
UCCUGCGGCAUAUAGAGGUUCCCAGGCUAGGGGUCUAAAUCGGAGCUGUAGCCGCCGGCCAACACCACAGCCACAGCCACGCCAGAUCCGAGCCACAUCUGUGGCCUACACCACAGCUCAUGGCAACGCCGGAUCCUCAACCCACUGAGCAAGGCCAGGGAUCGAACCUGCAACCUCAUGGUUCCUAGUCAGAUUCGUUAACCGCUGGGCCACGAAGGGAACUCCCUCACAGUUCUAGUCUAGACAAAGACAAGCCUGCACAUCAGCAACAAAAACAGAGGGAGCAGAGUGCCCGGAUUUUGCCGUGGGCAUGGGCUUGGGCAGGAUCGGCGGGAGACCAACGGGGCUCUGCCGAGUUCCUGCCGCUUUCCUCCUUCGUAUCAGACAGAGGCUGAUGCUAACCAUCGCCCUCCUCCGCAGUCUAUACCUCGAACGGCUGUCAGAGGAAGGCAGGAUUUCAGGCCAGGAAGAAGGAAGGGAAGGGCUGGUCUCGUGGCAAAGCACCGAGGGGGAGGAGGAAAAGGGGGAAGAGGCUCUGAAAGAGCAGUUGGUGCCAUUACAAUUCUGCCACGCAGACCGGGAGCAGCUCGCCGAAUUUUUUCACAAGACCUUUGAAGUUCUGUAAAGAAAAUCACCAGGAAACCAGCAGGAAUGCAAUGUUUCAUCUAGUGGAUGAAGCGUUGAAUUUCUGACGAAAAUCACUAGCUCCACAAUGCCUAAUGUAUUCCCAUUCUGCAAACCACCCUUGCAAGACAGCUGCCAGAAGGGAUCCCACCCCAGCACACCCUUGUCCUUUGAAAAAAUGCUUUACGUGUUCGUUGAAAUGACAUGUAUCACAAAAAAGAUGCUGUGUCUCAACAAAGACAAGCUGACGCCACUGCAUUUCAGAAAGACAAGGUCCUUGGCGGAAAGGAAACGGAACAGGCUUGGGGGUCUGUACAGGACACGUGAGUCCCACCCGGUGUCCCCUCUCUGGAAGGAAAGACCUUACUGCUCUUUGCCGGGGCUGGGCACCUUAGCCCGGGGCACACAGCGGACUCAGAGGCUCCCCCGCUGGCUGGCCAGUGACCCAUGAGGCGGCCAGCUGUGGAGGGUUCUGCCCAGCUGAGCAAGGCUUGGCAAACCUUUUGGUCUUAGGACCUCUUUACAUCCUGACCGAGUCAGAACAUCCCAAAGGGGUUUGUUACCGUCUUAAAGUGGGUUUUAUCUAUUGAUACCGCAAGAGAAAUUAAAACUGAGAAACCUUCCAAACUCAAGAACACACAUUUAACUGUCAGAGGAUGACACCCCUGCCCACCACACCCCCUCUGGAAAAUGCCACUAAAUAUGCAUGAGAGAGUAAGAGUGAGUAAGGGCAAAUAAUGCCUUGUAUUAUUUUUUAGGAAAAUAGUUUUGACCUCACAGGGUCCCUACAUGAGUCCUGGUAACCCCAGAAACCCCAAAGGCCAUCCUUUGAGAACCUCUGUAUCAGGGGCAAUGACAAACAGCUAAGCAGUCAGACUCAGACAAACUCACUCCAGAACUUUUUUUUUCGGUCUUUUUAGGGCCGUAGCCGUGACACAUGAAGUUCCCAGGCUAGGGGCUGAAUCAGAGCUACGGCUGCAGGUCUACACUACAGUCACAGCAAUGCUGGAUCCGAGCCUCGUCUGUGACCUACACUGCUGCUCACGGUAACACCGGAUCCUGGACCCACUGAGUGAGGCCAGGGAUCAAACCCACACCCUCAUGGAUACUAGUCAGAUUCAUAAACCGCUGAGCCACGACAGGAACUCCUUCAGAACUUGUAACAGCAAUGAAGGCUUGGACAGUCAAAGCAAGAAAAUACGGCAGAGGCUAGAAAAAAAGACAGAGAGAUUCCAAAACAUUUUAAGACGUUCAUGUGUUUUCCAAGUUAAAUGAUGUUUUUAAAGUUUCAGCAUCUAUUUACUACUACUAUCAUCUUAAUUCCCAAUGAAUGGUGCUUCAAAGAGAUUACGGAAUAUCAAUUUUGACCUAAGUCUCACAUUUAAUGGGGACUGGGUUCAUUGGUUGCCUCUGAUUCCUCCCUGAUAAUCAACACAACAUACUGCUUUUCCAAAAACAAGUCUCCACAGGGUAACAAAAAUGAACACACUCCAAAGAGAACCACCGUUAAAAAUGAUGAAUUCUGAACACUAAUUAAGCAUUCUAGGCCUUCCCAAAUAAUCAAGUCCUAACCUGUCCAUGAUAAUUAGCAGGAGAAAAAAAAAAAAUAGUUCUUGCAAUGGUCUGAAUGCAUCCCCUCAAAAUUCAUACGAUGAAAUCCUAACCCCCACUGUGACAGUAUUAGGAGGUGGGGCCUUGGGAGGUGAUCAGGUCAAGAGGGUGGAGCCCCAUGGAUGGGAUUAGUGCCCUUACAGAGGAGACCCCAGAGAGUCCCUGACUCCACCUGCCAUGUGAGGACACAGCGGGAGACAGCCGUCCACGGCCCGGAGCAGGGUUCUCACCAAAGCCUGACCAUCGUGGCACCUGAUCUUGGACGUGUAGCCUCCAGAGCUGUGAAAAACAAAUUUCUGUUGUUUACAGGCCACCACAUCUAUGGUAGCCUGAACUAAGACAGCUCUAUAACCCACUCAGGAAAUGAAAGCUAGGUGGGUACGUAGGUGGUAGCGGUUUCCUUCUACCCCCAAAAAAUUUAAGCAACAAAGGCUGGAAGAACCUUACCCACAGUCUCUGUGAGAGUUUCCACACCUGUUUUCUUGCAUUUCCUUUGGUUUUUAUAAUAACCUUUGAACUUUCCUCUACCUCCAAUCUGAAAUCUUUCCCUUUGACAGAAACAGUCUCCUUUUCUCCAAAAAAUUUAAUUUUUUUAUUUUUCGGCCGUACCCAUGGUAUCUGGAAGUUUCCGGGCCAGGGCUCAAACGCGCACAGGGUCCUUAACCUGCUGCACCACAGGGCAACUUCCUCUCUGCUAAGUUUAUACAGUGGCUGGGGCCAGCCUUGCUAACAGGAAGGACUCUAUAAUCAACUCUACACAUAAAAGAGUGCGAACUAGAUCCCCAUGGGGACGGUGAUUGUAUCUGCCGUCUAAUGGAGCAUUUACCACAGACCCUAAGGCGCCUGGAGCCAUCAUCAUCUCACUCUCGCCUCACGUCAAUCUUUUCAGUACCUACCAUACAAAUUCUACGGAUGAGAGAACAGGCUCAGAGGGGCAGGUGGCUUGCCCUGCAUCACUGAGGCCCUGAGGCACCCCUCAGACUAAGGAGUUCAUGAGGCUUCACUUGCAUCCGCUCACUCACCCUCCCAACAGCCUCCUGCAACAGGACAGCAUAAAUACUCCAGCGGUGCUGGGAACUGGUACCUAAGCCACAGAGAAGUUAGUAACGUGUCCAAAAUAGCAGAGUUAGUAAGUGGCCAUGAACAAUGCCUACCUUAAAUGGUGGUGGCGGCAGGAGGGGGGUUAAAGGAGCAGCCACAGUUCAGUUAGAAUGGCAUCUAACACACAGCAAAUACUUUAGAAAAACUAGAGGCUACAAUGAGAGUAUCCCGCAUACAAGAAGGGUUCCACAAAGAGCAGCCAGAAGCAGCGAAAGAGGAUGUGUGUCAGGUGAAUCAAGAGGGGACCCUCCUCCAAGAGCACUCUCCCAAGGCGCUGCGGUGCCCACAGCCACCCCGGCCAAUCUUCUGCCUUUUCUCGCUGACUCUAGCUGGCCCUGCACUUCUGGGUGGGACCUCUUCAUUCCUGCUACUAAGAGCCUGCAAGGGGGUGUGGUGGAAAAGGAACAUGCCGGGUGGCAGGGGCCCCGGUCCCAUCACCCUGACUGCGGGGACCGCUCUGAGGCUGGGUUUCCCCAGCUGCACACCGAGGGCAGUCACCACUCCCCUGCCACGCCAACGCGGACAUCCUGCCGCUGUUCUGCCAGCUUGUGGCUCUGACAUCUCACAGGCCUCCUUGGCAAGGCCCCCCAGGAGAGCUGCUGUUGGGCUCUUUCUGCUAAGUGCUUGAGCCAGAAUUGAGCCUGACAAUCAAGCUCACUGGGCUGGGGAGCAUCUGAGCACUUACAAGCCCCUUCGUCCUCCGCUUUGGCCAUGCAGCAGUCAGGGCAGCACCCGAGGACACAGUGGGAAGUGAGUCCUCAAGUUCAAGGAAUGCUAGGCCAGCUGAACAAGUACAGAUGGAGCGACUCGUCCCCAGGGAGACUUUUAAAGGAAAAAGAUGGUCUUCCUCGUAGAAGAAGCCACUGUCCCAGAGUCACCUCACCAGGGAUCAACACCUAACUGGCACUCACUCACUGUGAGACUUUAAGCAAGUUAACGUCUCUGAGCUAGGGUCACUUUAUCAGUACCUCUCAAUGUCAGACAGCAGACACAGAAAUUCUCUCAACUGUCAGGUGCCACGCAAACCUAAGAUGCUGGGAACCUUCUCGGCUGUUAAAGGGCGGUGCUGCGGAAAAGACGGACAGAUCAGUUAGGUCCUGGUAGAGACCCGAUUUUAAGAGUCAGCAAAUGUACACGUCAUCUUGAACAGAGCAGCUAACAAGGAAGAGUGGGAUGUGGGGAAGGGGAGGGGCACAGGUGGCCAGUGUGGCUUCACAAGGUCCAGUCCGGGGUGAGUCUCUUCCACCUGAAGGUGGUGUGUUCUCUGAUGAGGUUCCAGAAUUUUUAAAGUUGGUUUCCUUCCUGCCAAAACCCCCUUAGGGCUCAAACACAAAGAAAAUCAAUUACUCAAAACAAAGCACAAUGCAAUGAUCCGUAAGUGCUGAAAUCAAUAAAAACACUCAUUUAAAGAGAUGUGCCUGGUUCUUCUGUGCCCUGAAGUGGGCACGGGCUGCAAACUGCAGGCUGAUGAAAACUCUCAAUGAUCUGGAAAAUGUGGCUCAUCUCGCCGACCUCUAAGGCACCUUCUGCCUCCAAAAUGCCAAGAAGACAUUAUGUCCCCUGACCUUUUACACGUUCUGACACCCCUCCCCAGUGUCUGGUCAAUUCUACGGACAAUACCUCUCCCAGACUUUCUUUAACCUCCAAUCUCCACACAGAGCCAGGGUCACCUUGGCCUCAUUCUUCAGGGCCCCUCACUGCGUGGGCGUGCAUGCUCAUUUGUUCACUUAAAUGGGGUAUGUCCUGGAGUUCGUGUCGUGACUCAGCAGUUGAUAAAUCUGACUAGCAUCCAUGAGGACGCAGGUUCCAUCCCUGGCCUCGCUCAGUGGGUUAAGGAUCCCGCGUUGCCGUGAGCUGUGGUGUAGGUCACAGUCGCAGCUUGGAUCCUGAGUUGUCUGGCUGUGACGCAGGCCGGUGGCUGCAGCUCCGAUUGGACCCCUAGCCUGGGAACUUCCAUAUGCUGUGGGUGAGGCCCUAAAAAGCAAAAAAAAAAAAACAAAAAAAAACAAAAAUGGGGUUCAUCCUUCUGGCUCCCAGUCUUUGGGGAUUAACAAAUCACUAAGUCAAAAAAAAAACAAACAAAAAAACAAAUCACUAAGUCAAAGCCCUGUCCUCAAAACAGGAAUAGGAGAGGCUCAGAACCAGCACUGCCACGCAAAGAAAAGGCUGAGCUGAGUGGCUGGAGAAGGGAAUGACUCUACAGGAUUCCCCAUUUUCCAAGCAGCUCACACAGUCGUGAGAAAGAACGGUGACUGCAAGAAAAAGGGAACUUCCCAGGGCCUGGAACAUCGGAGACGGACUGACAUAGCAAUUAUCCUACAAGAGUCAAACGGGGUUAGGCCCUCGGGGAGCAGCCACUGCUGCUUCAGAAAUAAACACAAAUUAACUCACCCUGGGUAACAAUUUAUGCUGUGUGGGGCAAAUCCCUCUACCUCCUCAUGCUUCUAGGAGAAAGAGCGCAAGCAGAAAUUAAAUAUCUGACUAAUUAUAUAUGCGGUAUUCAUAUUCUUGUCCUUAAGGCAGAAAAUAUAUUUUAAGAGUUCCCAUCAUGGCUCAGCAGAAAUGAACUCAACUAGUAUCCACGAGGACACGGGUUCGAUCCCUGGCCUUGUUCAAUGGGUUAAGGCUCUGGUGUUGCCGUGAGCUGUGGUAUAGGUCACAGACGUGGCUCAGAUCCUGAGUUGCUGUGGCUGUGGUGUUGGCCGGCAGUUGUAUCUCCGGCUGGAUCCCUAGCCUGGGAACCUCCAUGGGCCUCACAUGUGGCAAGAAAGAAAGAAAGGAAGAAUGAAAAUGUAUGCAUAUAUUUUUAAACUAUGAAUUUACAAAUUUUCAUUCCAUGUCUACAGUUUUUUUAACAGGCUAGAAUGCCUAAGACAGUGGAGUCGAACAGAUCUGGUUUGAGGCUUCGCUCUGCGAUAAACCAGUUGUGCAAAUGGAGCAUUUAUUGAUCUUCC